GAUGAACGCUAGCGGCAGGCUUAAUACAUGCAAGGCGAGGGGGCAGCAAUGUCACCGUCGUACGGGUGCGUAACGCGUAUGCAACCUACCUUCAACUGGGGGAUAGCCCGGGGGAAACCCGGAUUAAUACCGCAUAACACAAUGAGGUCUCAUGGUUUUAUUGUUAAAGAUUUAUUGGUUGAAGAUGGGCAUGCGUACGA
rnacentral:rRNA from 1 species